AUUGAACGCUGGCGGCAGGCCUAACACAUGCAAGUCGAACGAGUGGCGGACGGGUGAGUAAUGUCUGGGAAACUGCCUGAUGGAGGGGGAUAACUACUGGAAACGGUAGCUAAUACCGCAUACCAUCGGAUGUGCCCAGAUGGGAUUAGCUCGGAGGUGGGGUAAAGGCUCACCUAGGCGACGAUCCCUAGCUGUGCUGAGAGGAUGAACAGCCAAACUGGAACGGAGACACGGUCCAGACUCCUACGGGAGGCAGCAGUGGUGAAGAUUGCACAAUGGGGGCAAGCCUGAUGCAGCCAUGCCGCGUGUAUGAAGAAGGCCUUCGGGUUGUAAAGUACUUUCCGCGGGGAGGCGUUACCCGCAGAAGAAGCACCGGCUAACUCCGGGCCAGCCGCCGCGGUAAUUC
rnacentral:rRNA from 1 species